GACGAACGCUGGCGGCGUGCUUAACACAUGCAAGUCGAACGGCGAAAGCGGAGCUUGCUCCGCUGGAUCAGUGGCGAACGGGUGAGUAACACGUGGGCAACCUGCCCCUCACUUCGGGAUAACUCCGGGAAACCGGGGCUAAUACCGGAUAUGACCUCCUUGGGCAUCCUUGGAGGUGGAAAGUUUUUCGGUGAGGGAUGGGCCCGCAGCCUAUCAGCUUGUUGGUGAGGUAGUGGCUCACCAAGGCGACGACGGGUAGCCGGCCUGCGAGGGCGACCGGCCCCACUGGGACUGAGACACGGCCCAGACUCCUACGGGAGGCAGCAGUGGGGAAUAUUGCGCAAUGGGCGAAGGCCUGACGCAGCAACGCCGCGUGCGGGAUGACGGCCUUCGGGUUGUAAACCGCUUUCAGCAGGGAAGAAGCCGCAAGGUGACGGUACCUGCAGAAGAAGCACCGGCUAACUACGUGCCAGCAGCCGCCGUAA
rnacentral:rRNA from 1 species